GCGUUUCUUCCCGCGCGUGACGGUUUGGAACCCAUCGGAGGUUCCGGGUUCGGGGCUGGCGGCCGACUCGAACUCCAUC